UACGUAGGGGGCAAGCGUUGUCCGGAAUUAUUGGGCGUAAAGAGCGUGUAGGCGGUCCGGUAAGUCCGCUGUGAAAGUCCAGGGCUCAACCCUGGAAUGCCGGUGGAUACUGCCGGGCUAGAGUCCGGAAGAGGCGAGUGGAAUUCCUGGUGUAGCGGUGAAAUGCGCAGAUAUCAGGAGGAACACCGAUGGCGAAGGCAGCUCGCUGGGACGGUACUGACGCUGAGGAGCGAAAGCGUGGGGGAGCGAACAGG
rnacentral:rRNA from 1 species